rnacentral:rRNA from 1 species
AAUAAACGCUGGUGGCAUGCUUUAUACAUGCAAGUCGAGCGAAGACUAGAUUUGUAGUAGAAAUGAUUAAUUUUCACUUUGUGGAGAUUAUGAAUUUUUGCUAUUCCUGGUCUUAGCGGCGAACGGGUGAGUAACGCGUGAAUAAUCUGCCCUUGAAAUCGGGAUACCAUUCCGAAAGGAAUGCUAAUACCGAAAACGUUAUGAAACAUAGGGUUCAUAACCAAAGUUGAAUCUUUGGAUUCUUCGUUCAAGGAUGAGUUCGCGUCCUAUUAGCUAGUUGGUGAGGUAAAGGCUCACCAAGGCUAUGAUGGGUAGCCGGCCUGAGAGGGCGUACGGCCACAUUGGGACUGAGACACGGCCCAGACUCCUACGGGAGGCAGCAGUAGGGAAUCUUCCGCAAUGGGCGAAAGCCUGACGGAGCGAUGCCACGUGGAUGACGGAGGCCUUCGGGUCGUAAAAUCCUGUCAGGAGGGACGAUGGUCAAUUUUCGGAUUGAUUGACGGUACCUCCAGAGGAAGCUCCGGCCAACUACGUGCCAGCAGCCGCGGUAAUACGUAGGGAGCAAGCGUUGUUCGGAUUUACUGGGCGUAAAGAGUGCGUAGGUGGCUAUACAAGUCAAGGGUGAAAUCUCUACUUUCAAGGUAGAAACUGCCUUUGAUACUGUAUGGCUAGAGGGCAAGAGGGGGAAAUGGAACUCUGGGAGUUGCGGUGAAAUGCGUAGAUAUCCAGAGGAACGCCAGUAGCGAAGGCGGUUUCCUGGCUUGCUUCUGACACUGAGGCACUAAAGCUAGGGGAGCGAUCGGGAUUAGAGACCCCGGUAGUCCUGGCCCUAAACGAUGGGUACUAGGUGUGGGGGGAGCAUUACCCUCUGUGCCGAAGCUAACGCGUUAAGUACCCCGCCUGGGGAGACGGUCGCAAGACU